AAAAACUUAGGAUAAUCUAAACCAAGGGCCUUCAAAGCCCUAAAUAAAGCUAGACGCUCUUAGUUUUUG
rnacentral:tRNA from 1 species